GUGGGGGAUAUUGGGCAAUGGGGGAAACCCUGACCCAGCAACGCCGCGUGAGGGAAGAAGGUUUUCGGAUUGUAAACCUCUGUCCUUGGUGACGAAGGAAGUGACGGUAGCCAAGGAGGAAGCCCCGGCUAACUACGUGCCAGCAGCCGCGGUAAUACGUAGGGGGCAAGCGUUGUCCGGAAUGACUGGGCGUAAAGGGCGUGUAGGCGGCCGAUUAAGUCUGGAGUGAAAGUCCUGCUUUCAAGGUGGGAAUUGCUUUGGAGACUGGUUGGCUUGAGUGCGGAAGAGGUAAGUGGAAUUCCCAGUGUAGCGGUGAAAUGCGUAGAGAUUGGGAGGAACACCAGUGGCGAAGGCGACUUACUGGGCCGUAACUGACGCUGAGGCGCGAAAGCGUGGGGAGCGAACAGGAUUAGAAACCCCUGUAGUCC
rnacentral:rRNA from 1 species